GAGUAACACGUGACUAACCUACCUUCGAGUGGGGGAUAACCUCGGGAAACCGGGGCUAAUACCGCAUAACAUCUACGGAUCAAAGGAGCAAUUCGCUUGAAGAGGGGGUCGCGGCUGAUUAGCUAGUUGGCGGGGUAACGGCCCACCAAGGCUUUGAUCGGUAGCCGGCCUGAGAGGGCGCACGGCCACACUGGAACUGAAACACGGUCCAGACUCCUACGGGAGGCAGCAGUGGGGAAUUUUGCGCAAUGGGGGAAACCCUGACGCAGCAACGCCGCGUGGAGGAUGAAGUCCCUUGGGACGUAAACUCCUUUCGACCGGGAAGAUUAUGACGGUACCGGUGGAAGAAGCCCCGGCUAACUUCGUGCCAGCAGCCGCGGUAAUACGAGGGGGGCAAGCGUUGUUCGGAAUUAUUGGGCGUAAAGGGUGCGUAGGCGGUACGGUAAGUCACCUGUGAAACCUCUAGGCUUAACCUAGAGCCUGCAGGCGAAACUGCCGUGCUUGAGUAUGGGAGAGGUGCGUGGAAUUCCCGGUGUAGCGGUGAAAUGC
rnacentral:rRNA from 1 species